rnacentral:tRNA from 1 species
GGCGAGGUAGUUUAUGUGAAUACCUGAUUUGCAUUUAGGAGGUUCCAAAUUUUGGACUUCGUUA